AUUGAACGCUGGCGGCAGGCCUAACACAUGCAAGUCGAACGGUAACAGGAAGCAGCUUGCUGCUUUGCUGACGAGUGGCGGACGGGUGAGUAAUGUCUGGGAAACUGCCCGAUGGAGGGGGAUAACUACUGGAAACGGUAGCUACUACCGCAUAACGUCGCAAGACCAAAGAGGGGGACCUUAGGGCCUCUUGCCAUCGGCUGUGCCCAGAUGGGAUUAGCUAGUAGGUGGGGUAACGGCUCACCUAGGCGACGAUCCCUAGCUGGUCUGAGAGGAUGACCAGCCACACUGGAACUGAGACACGGUCCAGACUCCUACGGGAGGCAGCAGUGGGGAAUAUUGCACAAAGGGCGCAAGCCUGAUGCAGCCAUGCCGCGUGUAUGAAGAAGGCCUUCGGGUUGUAAAGUACUUUCAGCGGGGAGGAAGGGAGUAAAGUUAAUACCUUGGCGCAUUGACGUUACCCGCAGAAGAAGCACCGGCUAACUCCGUG
rnacentral:rRNA from 1 species